UGAAUACGAGAUGCUACGGCGUCGAAGCAGUGUAUGUCAGACUUCCAAGAAAAGCUCGCUAUGUCAUAAAUAAAUAAUGCCUGUACCAUAACCGACACAGGUGGGUAGGUAGAGUAUACUAAGGGGCGCGAGAUAACUCUCUCUAAGGAACUCGGCAAAAUAACUCCGUAACUUCGGGAGAAGGAGUGCCUUAUUUAAUAAGGUUGCAAUAACAAGAUCCAAGCAACUGUUUAUCAAAAACACAGGUCUCCGCUAAGUCGUAAGACGAUGUAUGGGGGCUGACGCCUGCCCAGUGCCAGAAGGUUAAGGAAGUUGGUUAGCAUCUGCGAAGCUGAUAACUGAAGCCCUGGUGAACGGCGGCCGUAACAAUAACGGUCCUAAGGUAGCGAAAUUCCUUGUCGGGUAAGUUCCGACCCGCACGAAAGGCGUAAUGAUUUGGAUACUGUCUCGGAGAGGGGCUCGGUGAAAUAGACUUGUCUGUGAAGAUGCGGACUACCUGCACCAGGACAGAAAGACCCUAUGAAGCUUUACUGUAACUUGGAAUUGAAAUCGGACUUUAUUUGCGCAGUAUAGGUGGGAGGCAUUGAGAAUAUUCUUGCGGGAAUAUUGGAGCCAUCAGUGAGAUACCACUCCUGUAAUGUUAGGUUUCUAACUUUGUAUCAUAAUCUGGUCAAAGGACAGUUUCAGGCGGGCAGUUUGACUGGGGCGGUCGCCUCCUAAAUGGUAACGGAGGCGUACAAAGGUUUCCUCUGAACGGGUAGAAAUCGUAUCUAGAGUGUAAAGGCAUAAGGAAGCUUGACUGUGAGACCUACAAGUCGAGCAGGGACGAAAGUCGGUCUUAGUGAUCUGACGGUGCUGAGUGGAAAGGCCGUCACUCAACGGAUAAAAGUUACUCUAGGAUAACAGGCUGAUCUCCCCCAAGAGUUCACAUCGACGGGGAGGUUUGGCACCUCGAUGUCGGCUCAUCGCAUCCUGGGGCGGUAGUACGUCCCAAGGGUUGGGCUGUUCGCCCAUGAAAGCGGUACGCGAGCUGGGUUCAGAACGUCGUGAGACAGUUCGGUCCAUAUCCGGUGUAGGCGUUAGAAUAUUGAGAGGAGCCUUCUUUAGUACGAGAGGACCGAGAAGGACAUACCUCUGGUGUACCAGUUAUCGUGCCAACGGUAAACGCUGGGUAGCUAUGUAUGGAGAGGAUAACCGCUGAAAGCAUCUAAGUGGGAAGCCCACCUCAAGAUGAG
rnacentral:rRNA from 1 species